GACGAACGCUGGCGGCGUGCCUAAUACAUGCAAGUCGAACGAGAGCGACCGGUGCUUGCACUGGUCAAUCUAGUGGCGAACGGGUGAGUAACACGUGGGUAACCUGCCCAUCAGAGGGGGAUAACAUCCGGAAACGGAUGCUAAAACCGCAUAGGUCUUCGAACCGCAUCGUUUGAAGAGGAAAAGAGGCGCAAGCUUCUGCUGAUGGAUGGACCCGCGUUGCAUUAGCUAGUUGGUGAGGUAACGGCUCACCAAGGCCGUGAUGCAUAGCCAACCUGAGAGGGUGAUCGGCCACAUUGGGACUGAGACACGGCCCAGACUCCUACGGGAGGCAGCAGUAGGGAAUCUUCCGCAAUGGACGCAAGUCUGACGGAGCAACGCCGCGUGAGUGAAGAAGGUUUUCGGAUCGUAAAACUCUGUUGUUAGAGAAGAACAAGUGCUAGAGUAACUGUUAGCGCCUUGACGGUAUCUAACCAGAAAGCCACGGCUAACUACGUG
rnacentral:rRNA from 1 species